rnacentral:rRNA from 1 species
GGAGGGCAAGUCUGGUGCCAGCAGCCGCGGUAAUUCCAGCUCCAAUAGCGUAUAUUAAAGUUGUUGCAGUUAAAAAGCUCGUAGUUGAAUUUCGGGGUUAGUAGAUUGGUCGUGCCACUGGUAUGUACUGGUCUUACUGAUUCCUCCUUCCUGAUGAACCGUAAUGCCAUUAAUUUGGUGUUGCGGGGAGACUGGACUGUUACUUUGAAAAAAUUAGAGUGUUUAAAGCAGGCUAACGCUUGAAUACAUUAGCAUGGAAUAAUGAAAUAGGACGUUCGAUCCUAUUUUGUUGGUUUCUAGGAUUGACGUAAUGAUUAAUAGGGAUAGUUGGGGGCAUUAGUAUUCAAUUGUCAGAGGUGAAAUUCUUGGAUUUAUUGAAGACUAACUACUGCGAAAGCAUUUGCCAAGGAUGUUUUCAUUAAUCAAGAACGAAAGUUAGGGGAUCGAAGACGAUCAGAUACCGUCGUAGUCUUAACCAUAAACUAUGCCGACUAGGGAUCGGAUGAUGUUAAUUUUUUAAUGACUCAUUCGGCGCCU